CUCACGUGUGAAAUGUAGCAGAUACACACACACUCGCACGUACAAAUAUCCUCUCCAUGAUAUAUCUUAUCUCUAUAAAAAUCAGCUUGCAAGCAUCUACACCCAGUUGACAUAACAACUCGAUCCCCUCUAUCUCUUUGAGAAUUUAUUGGGGUUUUCUUUCAAAGGCUGGAGUUCAGUGACUCUCCAAUAAGGAAUAACAAGUUGGGAGUUGGGAUUUAUCAUGUUGAUUAAAGGGGUGAGUGAAUUCCAUGCUAUUGCUUUGUCAAGUGAUUAGUCUUUUGCAUAUUAACCCUUUUGUUCGUUGUCUGUUCGACCUUGAAUACAUAAAAAACAAAAACCCUAAUGAGUAAGGAUGGUUUUGAAUUUCAAUUUGAAGAGAUUAUAUCGAUUAGGUUAUAUAAUUAAUCAAGGAAAGCCAAUAACAUAUCAACAUGUGCAUAUAUAUGUGUGUGUGUGUGUGUGUAUAUAGUGUUUGACACAAGGCUAGCUCAUACCACAAUUAAUGUUGCUGUUGUUCCAAGGAUCACUUCUAUAUAUGUUUAAUUUGCCUAUCAUUAUAGAAUUCAAAUUUCGUUUAAUCUUAGUUUUAUAGUUAUUAUUGGAGGUCAAUAUAGAAAGAGAAAAACAUAUAUGAUAUAUAGCUAGCUAGGAACGGAGCAAUUAAUUAAUUAAUUUUGCAGACAAAACUUCACCAUGGCUGUUUAAUCUUAAUAAUAUAUAGAAAGGCUCAUAGUUGGAAGAACAUUGCCAAGAUUUGGUGCAACUUUUUGCCUAGCUAAAGAAAGAGGAGAGGAUUUCAUGCUAAGCAUAUCUUACUAUAAACGAGCUCAAAAUAGAGCAUAAGCUCAUACAUCCAAGUCCUAUAUACUAUAUAUGUAUUAUAUAUCCAAUUCCUAUAUCUAUUAUCUGGAUAUUUCGUAUACUUCUCUCUCUUCUGAUCCACUGAUAUACUCUCUGACGAAGUUGUAGAACACCAGAACACAGUUCAGUUGAUAAAAUGUGGGCCCUCCCUUUUCAGUUAUUUUGGCAAUAUUUUCCUUCUAGGAGUCUAAACUCAAAGUAUCACUUUUCACCCUGAAAAAGAAAAUACCGUUUGGAGAUGCAGUCAAACAAGAAUCUUACUCCUAUUUUAAUCCUGGCCUUGUAAUAAUGAUCGUCUCUCUCUCUCUCUCUAUUCUUAGUGAAAAUUAGUUCAAUGUAUGUCUGUGCAGUAGUUUGGACAUGCAUAUUGAUGAAACUUAAUUUGUCUUUGUACUUUUUAGAGUUAUAUAUAGCCAUAUAGCUAGGGUCCUUUGGACACACAUGCAUUGUUAAUUGUUUGUAGUAUUUGUGUUUGGCCAUUUCUAAGUAAAAUGUGUGUGGUUAAGCCUUUUUCUUAUGAACAAGAAAAUACAAAAGGCAAAAUAUGCAUAUGCAUGUAAUGAAAGUGGGUUUGGUUUAAUUUAAUUAAAUUCAAGGUCGAACAGGACAGCGAAUGUGAGGUAUAAAGCGACGGACUGUUCAUUUGAUAUGGCUUUUACACGGAGAUCAACACCCACCCGCCCUCAGUACUGUCUCUCAUGCUUGGAUAUAUAUAUAUAUAUAUAUAUAUAUAUAUAUGCUACAUUUUUUAUAUUGUUUUAUUGACAUAUUGUAUAUAUAUAUAUGCUUUGAAAGAAUUUGUAGGUCUCACUAUUUGAACUUAAAGGGGAAAAUUCUUAAUUUUAUUUUGCAUUGGACCAAAAAUAUCUUAGUGUCCUGUGUGUGUCAAGACUAUAUCCCACAUUGGAUUGAUAUAAUCCAAUCAAGUGAUAUAUAAGUAAAGUCCUAACACCUUCCACACAAGUGACACAUUUUUUUGAACCUAAGAAUCAAUGGUGACGAUCCAUGAAGAAUAAAUUCAUACAAGUCCAUGGCCAGAACGAACAAUAUUCUUGAUGUGUUUGAGCUUGGAUUUUCAAAAAGCCUAGGUAUGGUUCUCAUUAAUGUCAUAUUAAUGUCUAAACUCUAUACAUAUAGGACACUGACUUAUUUUAUUUUAAUUUCGCCAGCUCUCAUUUUCAAUACACUAAGCAGGAUGGAUGCCCGGGAUGGUGUCCCAUGCACGAUGGAUAUGGAGGUGGCUAGAGAUCGAAGCUUGUCAGAAUGAAGAUAGCUAGAGAUUAAUUGCUGUCAGUGCUUGGAAAAAUGAGUGAAUUCCAUGCUAUCCAUGUCAAGUGAGCAGUUCCUUAACAGAUUAAUCUUUGUUUCAUUGUCUGUUCGACCCUGAAACCCUUUCUUCUUAGGCCCCAUAUAUAUAUAUAAAGUUAUAAACCCUAGAUCCUAGUUAUAUAUCUCAAAAAAUAGAAUAAGGUAGAAGAUGAAAAAUUGGUUCCAAUAUAAUUGGCAGAAAACAAAAAAAAAGUACAAGGAAUCAAUAUAUAGUCGGAUAAAUGGCAAUCUCAAAACAAAGCUAUAGCAAUUUUACACACACACACACACACACACAUAUAUAUAUAUACUUGAGUAUUAUGCAUACAAAUGUUGCUAACUGGGACUGUAAUAGGAAAGUGCAGGCUAUAAGCUACUCAUGAAACCUAGAAAAGAGAAACCAAAUUCAUCUGGUAAAAGAAAGUGAAAUGGUGAAAUAAUUUUAGGACCCACCCUACUUUUCCAUACAUGGAUGUAUGUGUUUGGCUGGUUCUAGUCAUCUUUUGUUAUUUUCUUUCUUUUUAAUAUUCCCGUAUAUCAAAUUGAAUUGAUACAUGCAUACACUACGCUAAGUUUCCCAACAACCCUUGUUUCUUAUGUAAGAAUUGGAAUGUACUUUUUAUUGCCUAGAAAAUCUGGGAAAAAUGGAAGGGAAAAAAAAAACCUCUUGUUUAGAUAAGGGCGGCUCUACCUGGUUGCUGCUCAAUGCCCCAUAUUUUUCAAAAACUACGAUUAUAUAGUAGUUAGCUACUUAGCUCAAGCAACUCCUUUUCUAGUGUUUGCCCGGUUCCCGUAGACUCAGGUAUGUCACAGUCUUAGAUAUCUAUGUAAGAUGAAGUUUCAAGGUGGAACAUGACAAUGAAAUAGAGGUGUGAUGAAGUAGGGACUAUUUACUUGACCUGGGUUUGCAUGGAAUUUAAAACCUCAUAGAUAUUCAGUUGUUUGACAAGGCUCCAGUUGAUGCAUGGAACUAUCAAAUGUUACGUUUCCACCAUUAAUUACUGCUCUCUCAACUGGAUUUCCCAGGAAAGAUCAUGUUAUCUUGGGAGAUUGUUGUUCGAUCACCAAAAACAACUAUGGGGGACAAAUCAAUCUUAAAGAGACAAUGUUCAAUGUUGGACUUGAUUAUUUAGGUGUAUUCUAUUCUAUAUCCAACAACAAAGUUUUUAUUCCUAUACGAUUCUUGUUUGAUUUCCUCUCAUUUAUGUUACUAUAUUGUAUACAUUGGAAUUCGGAUCUACUGAUGGGGAGAAAUACACAAUUUGAUACCUCAAAAGGGCAUAUGUACAUGGAACAGGCAGUUAUUGCAGAUAGGAGGAGAUGAGGGAAUCAACAAUUCACCUACCCUUCUUUGAUGCGCUCAGUGAACUUUUCCUUCCUUUUGGGUUCCAGGUUUUGGCAAUUGAAGCACUCUGGAAGGCUGUAGUAGAGAGGUUUCGAUCAUGCUGAUAUAUGGUCUUACAGCUUUAUCUGAUUUCGAUUAUAGAAUUAUGUAAUUUAUUGUAUGUGUAUGUCCUGCUGCCAUGGGCCGGAGACUCUAUAGAGUUAUUUUGACUGGGCUUGACACUGCAGGCUUUGUAUGGGCUGUUCUGGGCCGGGCUUGGUAUAGUCCGUAGUUGUACGAGGUAGCCGAGUUUGAGAAAGGUAUGUUGAAGCCCAGCCCAGCCCAGCCCUCAAAAUAGCACCUUCAAUCAUUGAUUAUUAUAGCUAACUUGGUUGAUACGAAUUAUCGA